UGGGGAAUAUUGGACAAUGGGGGCAACCCUGAUCCAGCAAUGCCGCGUGUGUGAAGAAGGUCUUCGGAUUGUAAAGCACUUUCGACGGGGACGAUGAUGACGGUACCCGUAGAAGAAGCCCCGGCUAACUUCGUGCCAGCAGCCGCGGUAAUACGAAGGGGGCUAGCGUUGCUCGGAAUGACUGGGCGUAAAGGGCGUGUAGGCGGUUUACACAGUCAGAUGUGAAAUCCCCGGGCUUAACCUGGGAGCUGCAUUUGAUACGUGUAGACUAGAGUGUGAGAGAGGGUUGUGGAAUUCCCANNNUGGUGAAAG
rnacentral:rRNA from 1 species